rnacentral:rRNA from 1 species
AGAGUUUGAUCMUGGCUCAGGACGAACGCUGGCGGCGCGCUAACACAUGCAAGUCGAACGAGCGAGAAGAGAGCUUUGCUUUCUCGAGCGAGUGGCGAACGGGUGAGUAACGCGUGAGGAACCUGCCUCAAAGAGGGGGCAACAGUUGGAAACGACUUGCUAAUACCGCAUAAGCCCACAGCUCGGCAUCGAGCAGAGGGAAAAGGAGCAAUCCGCUUUGAGAUGGCCUCGCGUCCGAUUAGCUAGUUGGUGAGGUAACGGCCCACCAAGGCGACGAUCGGUAGCCGGACUGAGAGGUUGAACGGCCACAUUGGGAUGAGACACGGCCCAGACUCCUACGGGAGGCAGCAGUGGGGAAUAUUGCACAAUGGGGGAAACUGAUGCAGCGACGCCGCGUGGAGGAAGAAGGUCUUCGGAUUGUAAACUCCUGUUGUUGAGGAAGAUAAUGACGGUACUCAACAAGAAAGUGACGGCUACUACGGUGCCAGCAGCCGCGGGUAAAACGUAGGUCACAAGCGUUGUCCGGAAAUUACUGGGUGUAAAGGGAGCGCAGGCGGAAGCCAAGUUGAAAGUGAAAUCCAUGGGCUCAAACCCAUGAACUGCUUUCAAAACUGUUUUUCUUAAGUAGUGCAGAGGUAGCCGGAAUUCCCGGUGUAGCGGUGGAAUGCGUAGAUAUCGGGAGGAACACCAGUGCGAAGGCGGCCUACUGGGCACCAACUGACGCUGAGGCUCGAAAGUGUGGGUAGCAAACAGGAUUAGAUACCCUGGUAGUCCACACUGUAAACGAUGAUUACUAGGUGUUGGAGGAUUGACCCCUUCAGUGCCGCAGUUAACACAAUAAGUAAUCCACCUGGGGAGUACGACCGCAAGGUUGAAACUCAAAGGAAUUGACGGGGGCCCGCACAAGCAGUGGAGUAUGUGGUUUAAUUCGACGCAACGCGAAGAACCUUACCAAGUCUUGACAUCCUGCGACGCACAUAGAAAUAUGUGUUUNCUUCGGGACGCAGAGACAGGUGGUGCAUGGUUGUCGUCAGCUCGUGUCGUGAGAUGUUGGGUUAAGUCCCGCAACGAGCGCAACCCUUAUGGUCAGUUACUACGCAAGAGGACUCUGGCCAGACUGCCGUUGACAAAACGGAGGAAGGUGGGGAUGACGUCAAAUCAUCAUGCCCUUUAUGACUUGGGCUACACACGUACUACAAUGGCGUUAAACAAAGAGAAGCAAGACCGCGAGGUGGAGCAAAACUCAGAAACAACGUCCAGUUCGGACUGAAGCUGCAACUCGCUGCACGAAGUCGGAAUUGCUAGUNAUCGCAGAUCAGCAUGCUGCGGUGAAUACGUUCCCGGGCCUUUGUACACACCGGCCCGUCACACCAUGAAAACCGGGGGGGACCCCGAANUCGGUAGUCUUAACCGCAAGGAGG